rnacentral:rRNA from 1 species
CCUACGGGGGGCAGCAGUCGAGAAUCAUUCACAAUGGGGGAAACCCUGAUGGUGCGACGCCGCGUGAGUGAAGAAGUAAUUCGUUAUGUAAAGCUCUAUCAGCAGGGAAGAAAAUGACGGUACCUGAGUAAGAAGCCUCGGCUAACUACGUGACAGCAGCCGCGGUAAUAAGUAGGGGGCAAGCGUUAUCCGGCUUUACUGGGUGUAAAGGGAGCGUAGACGGCAGUGCAAGUCUGGAGUGAAAGGCGGGGGCUCAACCCCGGACUGCUCUGGAAACUGUACGGCUGGAGUGCAGGAGAGGUAAGUGGAAUUCCUAGUGUAGCGGUGAAAUGCGUAGAUAUUAGGAGGAACACCAGUGGCGAAGGCGGCUUACUGGACUGUAACUGACGUUGAGGCUCGAAAGCGUGGGGAGCAAACAGGAUUAGAUACCCGUGUAGUC